GAUGAACGCUGGCGGCGUGCCUAAUACAUGCAAGUCGAGCGAACGGACGAGAAGCUUGCUUCUCUGAUGUUAGCGGCGGACGGGUGAGUAACACGUGGAUAACCUACCUAUAAGACUGGGAUAACUUCGGGAAACCGGAGCUAAUACCGGAUAAUAUUUUGAACCGCAUGGUUCAAAGGUGAAAGACGGUCUUGCUGUCACUUAUAGAUGGAUCCGCGCUGCAUUAGCUAGUUGGUAAGGUAACGGCUUACCAAGGCAACGAUGCAUAGCCGACCUGAGAGGGUGAUCGGCCACACUGGAACUGAGACACGGUCCAGACUCCUACGGGAGGCAGCAGUAGGGAAUCUUCCGCAAUGGGCGAAAGCCUGACGGAGCAACGCCGCGUGAGUGAUGAAGGUAUUCGGAUCGUAAAACUCUGUGAUUAGGGAAGAACAUAUGUGUAAGUAACUGUGCACAUCUUGACGGUACCUAAUCAGAAAGCCACGGCUAACUACGUG
rnacentral:rRNA from 1 species